rnacentral:rRNA from 1 species
CAGUCGCCACGGUAAUACGAAGGGUGCAAGCGUUAAUCGGAAUUACUGGGCGUAAAGCGUGCGUAGGCGGUUCGCUAAGACAGAUGUGAAAUCCCCGGGCUUAGCCUGGGAACUGCAUUUGUGACUGGCGGGCUAGAGUAUGGCAGAGGGGGGUAGAAUUCCACGUGUAGCAGUGAAAUGCGUAGAGAUGUGGAGGAAUACCGAUGGCGAAGGCAGCCCCCUGGGCCAAUACUGACGCUCAUGCACGAAAGCGUGGGGAGCAAACAGGAUUAGAGACCCGUGUAGUCCCUGUCUCUUAUAC